CUUCACAUUGUUUUCAUUCAUAUUCAUUCUUGUUUUAUCAUGAUUGUUUAUAGCAAAAAAUUAUUAUGCGUUUUUUUCGCAUAUACCCGCCUUCAAUGAACUCAACUUAGUUCGCGUUUAUUAUACGCAGCGUACGGCGGUUUAUUCGUUGAUUUUUUUUGUACUCGUAAUAAUAGCAACAAAAUAAUAAUUAUUAUUAUAAAUAAUAAAAUAUUUGUGUAAAAUAAAAAAAUUUGUGAUAAUCUCUAUAUAAUAUGCUUUUUGUAAUUAAAACAACACCAAAUUAAAGUAAAUUCAAAGAAGAAAAAAAUUAAUGAAAAUGUUGUGCAAAUAAUAUAAAUAAUUAUACUUGAAAAGAUUGAUAAAGUAUAAAACAAAAAUUUGUGAAACAUGAGAUAAAUUAACAAGAAAAAUAAGAAAGAAAUAAAUAAAAAAAAUAAUGUUUAAAUGAUAACAAGUAAAUAAGGCAAUAAUUAUGGAAAUUUAAGAAGAAAAAAAUAAAAAGAAAAGCAGCAGCCAUUAAAGGCUUAAAAGUGGAAAAAGAAAUUAUUAAGUGAUACUUAAGCGAUUUAAAACAAAAUAACACCAAAUUAUUUAAUAAAUAAACAAAAAAGUUAAAAAAAUAUAAUAAAACCAAUCAAAAAAUCGUAUUGAUAAGAGAAACAAACUAAACCAGCAAAUAAUUCCCGCACAAAUUUUGCCCUUUCAUUAAACCAAUAUCUUUAGAAAUACCAAAAAUAAAAGGUAAAAUAUAAAACAAACCAGAAAUGUGAUAACAAAAAAAAAAAAAGGAAAAUAGUUUAAUACGUAUUAAUAAAAGUUUAAUAAACAAAAAUCAUAAAUAAUAAAAACCUAAUAAUUUUAUCAAAAUACCACAGAAACCCAACAAACAAAUAAAGCCAAUUUAUUAUUAUAAAUUAAUAUAAGCAAUAAUAAUUUAAUUUAAUAUAAUAUACAAAAGAAUAUAUAAAAAAGCCUUUGCAAAGUUAAAAAAAUUAAAAAAAAAUUCCUUUUCCCAAAGCUGCUAAUGAAAGCUAUUUGUUUAAAAUAUAAUAAAAUCAAAUAUGAAGCCAAGUGAUUUAUAAUAACUAAAAAUGAAAUUACUCUACAUUUAAUAAAUAAAAGUAAUAAUGCAACAAACAUUAUUAUUAAUAAAAUUAUUUAUUAAAUCAACAACAAAAUAAAUGGAAGCCUUUCAAAUGUUUUGCAACAUCAUUAACCAGAACAGCAGCAGCUCAUGCAACAACAUCAUUAGUUUUGUUUGACAUUGAUUUUUCUGUUUUCAAUACAGAGAGCAACAUUGAAAAUCAAAUUUUCCAGCCUAUAGUUCACAAACUAAAACAACCUAACGUGUCCUGUAACCAACUUACAGAGUGUGCAUUUAAACGACUUCUUCUUUAGUUAGAAAGAAAGUUGUUUUGUUUUCCGUUUUCUAUUUACUUAAGCCUACAACAUACAUUAUUUACAUUUAGCUAUGUAUGUGUUUUAAAGAACCUCAGCCACAAAACAACCUAACUAAGAAACAAACAAACAAACAUGCACGAAUAUUUAUGACUGCCUGUUGCCCUAUGCCUACACAUUACACUUACAUUAACACCUAUACUUGUACACUUACUCAUACACUGACUACCACUACUACUACUACUACCCAAAACAACAACAAAGAAAAAAUAAGGAAAACAAUACAGCAGCAGUAAAUAGACAUUAAGUGGAAAUACAUAUAAAAAAAACCAAGUAAUUCUGAGUAACAAUAACCAAGCAACUCAACCAUUUACUUUCCUUCUUACAUCGUUACAACGCUCUCCUCUAGCUCCUCCUCCUCUUUCCAUUCAUUGGCAUCAAGGUUGAGCUUUAAACAAACUUUACGCUGAUGAUGGGAUACAUCAUGGGUUGUGCUUGUUUUAAAGGUACGU